GAUGAAGAACGCAGCGAAAUGCGAUAAGUAAGUGAAUUGCAGAAUUCAGUGAAUCAUCGAAUCUUUGAACGCACAUUGCGCCCGCCAGUAUUCUGGCGGGCAUGCCUGUUCGAGCGUCAUUUCAACCAUCAAGCCCCCGGCUUGUGUUGGGGACCUGCGGCUGCCGCAGGCCCUGAAAACCAGUGGCGGGCUCGCUGUCACACCGAGCGUAGUAGAUUUUCAUCUCGCUCAGGGCGUGCUGCGGGUUCCGGCCGUAAAAAGCCUUAUUUACCCAAGGUUGACCUCGGAUCAGGUAGGAAGACCCGCUGAACUUAAGCAUAUCAAUAAGCGGAGGA
rnacentral:misc_RNA from 1 species